rnacentral:rRNA from 1 species
UACGGGGGGGGCAGGCGUUGUUCGGAAUUACUGGGCGUAAAGGGCUCGUAGGCGGCCAACUAAGUCGGAUGUGAAAUCCCCAGGCUUAACUUGGGAACUGCAUCCGAUACUGGAUGGCUUGAAUCCGGGAGAGGGAUGCGGAAUUCCAGGUGUAGCGGUGAAAUGCGUAGAUAUCUGGAGGAACACCGGUGGCGAAGGCGGCAUCCUGGACCGGCAUUGACGCUGAUGAGCGAAAGCCAGGGGAGCAAACGGG